CCUACGGGUGGCAGCAGUGAGGAAUAUUGGUCAAUGGGCGCAAGCCUGAACCAGCCAAGUCGCGUGAGGGAAGACGGCCCUACGGGUUGUAAACCUCUUUUGCCGGGGAGCCAGCCUGCGCACGUGUGCCCAGGCGGAGAGUCCCCGGAGAACACGCAUCGGCUACCUCCUUGCCAGCAGCCGCGGUAAUACGGAGGAUGCGCGCGUUAUCCGGUUGUAUUGGGUUUAAAGGGUGCGUAGGCGGACUGUUAUGUCAGCGGUAAAAGCCCGGGGCUAAACCGUAAAAUUGCAAUUGAUACUGGCAGGCUGGAGUACAGUUGAGGGAGGCGGAAGUCGUGGUGGAGCGGUGAAA
rnacentral:rRNA from 1 species